GUCUCACCGCACUGCCCAGCAGCGACGAUCACUGCAAGAUGUGCGAGUGUGUUGUGACCACCGCUGUUCUGACUGGCCACGCCCCCUCUGAGUGAUCACUGCCCCUACACAAAUACCACAGGUACUAUAUGAGCCUUGGCGUCUCACCACACUGCCCAGCAGCGACGAUCACAGCAAGCUGUGCGAGUGUGUUGUGACCACCGCUGUUCUGACUGGCCACGCCCCCUCUGAGUGAUCACUGCCCCUACACAAAUACCACAGGUACUAUAUGAGCCUUAGCGUCUCACCGCACUGCCCAGCAGCGACGAUCACUGCAAGAUGUGCGAGUGUGUUGUGACCACCGCUGUUCUGACUGGCCACGCCCCCUCUGAGUGAUCACUGCCCCUACACAAAUACCACAGGUACUAUAUGAGCCUUAGCGUCUCACCGCACUGCCCAGCAGCGACGAUCACUGCAAGAUGUGCGAGUGUGUUGUGACCACCGCUGUUCUGACUGGCCACGCCCCCUCUGAGUGAUCACUGCCCCUACACAAAUACCACAGGUACUAUAUGAGCCUUAGCGUCUCACCGCACUGCCCAGCAGCGACGAUCACUGCAAGAUGUGCGAGUGUGUUGUGACCACCGCUGUUCUGACUGGCCACGCCCCCUCUGAGUGAUCACUGCCCCUACACAAAUACCACAGGUACUAUAUGAGCCUUAGCGUCUCACCGCACUGCCCAGCAGCGACGAUCACUGCAAGAUGUGCGAGUGUGUUGUGACCACCGCUGUUCUGACUGGCCACGCCCCCUCUGAGUGAUCACUGCCCCUACACAAAUACCACAGGUACUAUAUGAGCCUUAGCGUCUCACCGCACUGCCCAGCAGCGACGAUCACUGCAAGAUGUGCGAGUGUGUUGUGACCACCGCUGUUCUGACUGGCCACGCCCCCUCUGAGUGAUCACUGCCCCUACACAAAUACCACAGGUACUAUAUGAGCCUUAGCGUCUCACCGCACUGCCCAGCAGCGACGAUCACUGCAAGAUGUGCGAGUGUGUUGUGACCACCGCUGUUCUGACUGGCCACGCCCCCUCUGAGUGAUCACUGCCCCUACACAAAUACCACAGGUACUAUAUGAGCCUUAGCGUCUCACCGCACUGCCCAGCAGCGACGAUCACUGCAAGAUGUGCGAGUGUGUUGUGACCACCGCUGUUCUGACUGGCCACGCCCCCUCUGAGUGAUCACUGCCCCUACACAAAUACCACAGGUACUAUAUGAGCCUUAGCGUCUCACCGCACUGCCCAGCAGCGACGAUCACUGCAAGAUGUGCGAGUGUGUUGUGACCACCGCUGUUCUGACUGGCCACGCCCCCUCUGAGUGAUCACUGCCCCUACACAAAUACCACAGGUACUAUAUGAGCCUUAGCGUCUCACCGCACUGCCCAGCAGCGACGAUCACUGCAAGAUGUGCGAGUGUGUUGUGACCACCGCUGUUCUGACUGGCCACGCCCCCUCUGAGUGAUCACUGCCCCUACACAAAUACCACAGGUACUAUAUGAGCCUUAGCGUCUCACCGCACUGCCCAGCAGCGACGAUCACUGCAAGAUGUGCGAGUGUGUUGUGACCACCGCUGUUCUGACUGGCCACGCCCCCUCUGAGUGAUCACUGCCCCUACACAAAUACCACAGGUACUAUAUGAGCCUUAGCGUCUCACCGCACUGCCCAGCAGCGACGAUCACUGCAAGAUGUGCGAGUGUGUUGUGACCACCGCUGUUCUGACUGGCCACGCCCCCUCUGAGUGAUCACUGCCCCUACACAAAUACCACAGGUACUAUAUGAGCCUUAGCGUCUCACCGCACUGCCCAGCAGCGACGAUCACUGCAAGAUGUGCGAGUGUGUUGUGA